CCGCGGUAUCCUGACCGUGCGAAGGUAGCAUAAUCACUUGUUCUCUAAAUAGGGACUAGUAUGAAAGGCACCACGAGGGCUUUACUGUCUCCUUUCUCCAAUCAGUGAAACUGAUCUCCCUGUGAAAAAGCAGGAAUAUUGAUAUAAGACGAGAAGACCCCAUGGAGCUUUAAACCCAAUGACACCCCAAACACUCCCAACCCCUUAGAGUUUUAUAAGUACUGUCCAUUGGUUUUAGGUUGGGGUGACCGCGGAGAACAAAAUAACCUCCAUGACGAACGGGACUAACCCCUAAUCCAAGAGCCACAGCUCUAAGAAUUAACAUAUUAACGUUAACUGAUCCAAUCAAUUGAUCAACGAACCAAGUUACCCUGGGGAUAACAGCGCAAUCCAUUUCUAGAGCCCCUAUCAAAAAAUGGGUUUACGACCUCGAUGUUGGAUCAGGGUACCCAGGUGGUGCAGCCGCUACCAAUGGUUUGUUUGUUCAACAAUUAAAACCCUACGUGAUCUGAGUUC
rnacentral:rRNA from 1 species